rnacentral:rRNA from 1 species
AUUGAACGCUGGCGGCAUGCCUUACACAUGCAAGUCGAACGGCAGCACGGGAGCAAUCCUGGUGGCGAGUGGCGAACGGGUGAGUAAUACAACGGAACGUGCACAGUAGUGGGGGAUAGCCCGGAGCAAGCCGAAUUAAUACCGCAUACGACCUACGGGUGAACGCGGGGGAUCGGAAGACAUCGCGCUAUUGGAGCGGCCGAUGGCAGCUUAGCUUGUUGGUGGGGGAAAGGCCUACAAAGGCGACGAUCUGUAGCUGGUCUGAGAGGACGACCAGCCACACGGGGACUGAGACACGGCCCAGACUCCUACGGGAGGCAGCAGUGGGGAAUUUUGGACAAUGGGGGCAACCCUGAGCCAGCCAUGCCGCGUGCGGGAAGAAGGCCUUCGGGUUGUAAACCGCUUUUGUCAGGGAAGAAACGGUCCGAUCUAAUACAUUGGACUAAUGACGGUACCUGAAGAAUAAGCACCGGCUAACUACGUGCCAGCAGCCGCCGUAA